GACGGAGGGUGCAAGCGUUGUUCGGAUUGACUGGGCGUAAAGGGCGUGUAGGCGGUUGGUCAAGUCUGAUGUGAAAGCCCGGGGCUCAGCCCCGGAAGGGCAUCGGAAACUAGCCAGCUGGAGCGCGAUAGAGGAAGGUGGAAUUCCUGGUGUAGCGGUGAAAUGCGUAGAUAUCAGGAGGAACACCGGCGGCGAAGGCGGCCCUCUGGAUCGUUGCUGACGCUGGAGACGCGAAAAGCGUGGGGAGCAAACAGG
rnacentral:rRNA from 1 species